rnacentral:rRNA from 1 species
AACGCGAAGAACCUUACCAGGUCUUGACAUCCCUCUGAAUACAGUCAGAGAUAGCGUAGGCCUUCGGGACAGAGGAGACAGGUGGUGCAUGGUUGUCGUCAGCUCGUGUCGUGAGAUGUUGGGUUAAGUCCCGCAACGAGCGCAACCCCUAAACUUAGUUGCCAGCAGGUAAGGCUGGGCACUCUAGGUUGACUGCCGGUGACAAACCGGAGGAAGGCGGGGAUGACGUCAAAUCAUCAUGCCCCUUAUGACCUGGGCUACACACGUACUACAAUGGCCGGUACAACGGGCUGCGAAACCGCGAGGUGGAGCCAAUCCUAUCAAAGCCGGUCUCAGUUCGGAUUGCAGGCUGCAACUCGCCUGCAAGAAGUCGGAAUUGCUAGUAAUCGCGGAUCAGCAUGCCGUCGGUGAAUACGUUCCGGGGGUCUGUACACACCG